UUCACAUCGUACAGUUUUCUGCCCUGGAUAACCCAACGUAUCAUUCAUACAUAGAAAAUUCAGCCAACGCUACAUUGCAAUUAAUCUUCAAUUUCAUGAAAACAGGACUCACUCGUCAAAUUUUAUUAGAUCGCUUGAAAAUUUUAAAUCAAUUUUAUACCAUUGAAAAAGAUCCGGACUCCACAAAUCUUUCUCCGUAUUUUCUUGACGCAGAGACUUUUAUAACACGUUCAUGGAGCAAUUUUCUUGACAGUGAGCCCAGUGGAUAUGAAACCUAUCAGUGCACCAAUAAAGAUUGCAUCGGAAAAGAAAUUCAAAAAAUACCAUUUCUCUCUAUCAAUGAGAAUGUAAUAAGACAAAAUGGAUAUCAAGCUUUGCAAGAUGUAUUGCUGUAUCAUCCUCAAAUUUUUAAUAUAAAGUGUCUGCAGCCAGGAUGCACGGGAACUCUUACAAAGAAAACUGAUUUGAACAUUCACAUCUGCAUCGAAUUGGAUGUGAGAGACUGCGCUGCGAGAGGGAGAAGCAUCGCAUGUUCUCUGCAUGACUUUCCCAUUUCUCUCAAUUUAGAACGAAAAUAUCGACUUGCUGGUGUCAUUCAUUAUAUUUCCAGGCACUUUAUUGCCUACUGUCUGCGAGCUUCAGGCUCUUGGAUAUGUUGCGAUGAUUUGAAGGGGAGAAUUGAUGGAGUUAAGCCCAAGACUAUUGUAAAUCCGCAUGCAGUAAUUUAUGUGCUCGAAUGAAAAUAUUUUCAAAUGAACAUAUAGCUUGUGUGCAUGAAUUGAUUGCAUCUAUGCUUUUACAGAACAUAUGAAAAGAAGAAGAAAUAAUUAGAAAGAUUGAAGGAUCAGUUGACGAAGCUGGAGGUCCAGGCGACCGACCGAGAAGAGAACAAAGAGAUCGCACUGAGUACCUCCAAGUUGAACUAUCUCGAUCCUAGAAUUUCUGUUGCAUGGUGUAAGAAGCACAAUAUCCUAGUCGAGAAGAUUUACAACAAGACUCAGAGGGAUAAAUUCCGAUGAGCAAUAGACAUGACGGGUCCUGAUUACGUGUUUUAACCCUGUGGGUCAUCGUUAUCAUCGUCACCGUCAACGCGUAUCGGCCCACGAGUGGAGUACAUCUCCCGCUGACGAUGUAUCUAGUGAAUUUUACGUUUUAACGAGAAGCCAGGAGACUUAAAGUAAGACAAAAAAGGAAUGAUGAAAAAAAGAAAAAAAAGAACAGUGUAAACUGUACGAAAAAAUUUUUUUACACUUACGUGGUAUAAAUGUGAGAGUGUGGGAACAUAUUUUCUAUAGGAUGAUAA